rnacentral:other from 1 species
UUGUCCCUGCGGUGUUCGAGAUUCGACCAUACAUUCCUUGAACCAAUGCUUAUGGCAUUUAGGUUGCCCGAUUGUGGGUAGGUGUGAACGUCUUAACUGACGGACCCGAAACCUGCUGAAAGCGACCACCCUGAACCUCCGGUUCCGGGAUGCCGGUCUAAACGGCACAUGCGGGGCAUUU